rnacentral:rRNA from 1 species
AACGAACGCUGGCGGCAGGCCUAACACAUGCAAGUCGAACGAACCCUUCGGGGUGAGUGGCGCACGGGUGCGUAACGCGUGGGAAUGUACCCUUGGGUGCGGAACAACGUCUGGAAACGGACGCUAAUACCGCAUAAUGACUCCGGUCCAAAGAUUUAUCGCCCAGGGAUCAGCCCGCGUUAGAUUAGAUAGUUGGUGAGGUAAUGGCUCACCAAGUCUACGAUCUAUAGCUGGUCUGAGAGGAUGACCAGCCACACUGGGACUGAGACACGGCCCAG